AUGGGACCCAGAAGAAACAGAGCCUGGAUGUCAUUGAGAGGAAAGCCAGGCAUGAAACAGCAAUAGAAAGAGACAGACUUAAAAUGGUACAGCAGUGCUGUGGCAUCUGUCAAGUGACAAGGGCACCAAGAAUGGAGGGAGGCAGGAGGUAGAACAUCUCAAGAUGGCCUCCAUCAUGCAGAAGUUUGUCAUCUGUAGAAAGGACAGUGCAACUAAAAGGAGUCAGAGUCGCAGCUCCUCCCCUUUGACCUCCCAAAGUAAACAACCAAUCUUGAAGGCAACAGUUAACACACACAGCUAAAAGAAUGGUUCACUUACCAUCAAA